rnacentral:rRNA from 1 species
UACGUAGGGUGCGAGCGUUAAUCGGAAUUACUGGGCGUAAAGCGUGCGCAGGCGGUUUGUUAAGACAGAUGUGAAAUCCCCGGGCUUAACCUGGGAACUGCAUUUGUGACUGGCAAGCUAGAGUAUGGCAGAGGGGGGGUAGAAUUCCACGUGUAGCAGUGAAAUGCGUAGAGAUGUGGAGGAAUACCGAUGGCGAAGGCAGCCCCC